rnacentral:piRNA from 1 species
UUGCGGAAACUGUUAGCUCUCUAGAC